UACAGAGGGUGCGAGCGUUAAUCGGAAUUACUGGGCGUAAAGCGUGCUAGACGGUUUCGUAAGUCGGGUGUGAAAUCCCCGGGCUCAACCUGGGAAUUGCAUUCGAAACUGCGAGGCUAGGGUACGGAAGAGGGAAGCGGAAUUUCUGGUGUAGCGGUGAAAUGCGUAGAUAUCAGAAGGAACAUCAGUGGCGAAAGCGGCUUCCUGGUCCAGUACCGACGUUCAGGCACGAAAGCGUGGGGAGCAAACAGG
rnacentral:rRNA from 1 species